rnacentral:rRNA from 1 species
UACAGAGGGUGCGAGCGUUAAUCGGAAUUACUGGGCGUAAAGCACACGUAGUCGGCUUUGCAAGUCGGUUGUGAAAUCCCCGGGCUCAACCUGGGAACUGCAUCCGAGACUGCAUUGCUAGAGUAUGGGAGAGGGAAGCGGAAUUUCUGGUGUAGCAGUGAAAUGCGUAGAUAUCAGAAGGAACAUCAGUGGCGAAGGCGGCUUCCUGGACCAAUACUGACGAUCAGGUGCGAAAGCGUGGGGAGCAAACAGG